CAGCAGCCGCGGUAAUACGUAGGUGGCAAGCGUUGUCCGGAAUUAUUGGGCGUAAAGGGCUCGCAGGCGGUUUCUUAAGUCUGAUGUGAAAGCCCCCGGCUCAACCGGGGAGGGUCAUUGGAAACUGGGAAACUUGAGUGCAGAAGAGGAGAGUGGAAUUCCACGUGUAGCGGUGAAAUGCGUAGAGAUGUGGAGGAACACCAGUGGCGAAGGCGACUCUCUGGUCUGUAACUGACGCUGAGGAGCGAAAGCGUGGGGAGCGAACAGGAUUAGAUACCCGGGUGUCCCUGUCUCUUAUACA
rnacentral:rRNA from 1 species